rnacentral:rRNA from 1 species
AACGAACGCUGGCGGCAUGCUUUACACAUGCAAGUCGAACGGUAACAGGCCGCAAGGUGCUGACGAGUGGCGAACGGGUGAGUAAUGCAUCGGAACGUGCCCAGUCGUGGGGGAUAACGCAGCGAAAGCUGCGCUAAUACCGCAUACGAUCUAUGGAUGAAAGCGGGGGACCGUAAGGCCUCGCGCGAUUGGAGCGGCCGAUGUCAGAUUAGGUAGUUGGUGGGGUAAAGGCCUACCAAGCCAACGAUCUGUAGCUGGUCUGAGAGGACGACCAGCCACACUGGGACUGAGACACGGCCCAGACUCCUACGGGAGGCAGCAGUGGGGAAUUUUGGACAAUGGGCGCAAGCCUGAUCCAGCAAUGCCGCGUGCAGGAAGAAGGCCUUCGGGUUGUAAACUGCUUUUGUACGGAACGAAACGGUCCGGGUUAAUACCCUGGGCUAAUGACGGUACCGUAAGAAUAAGCACCGGCUAACUACGUGCCAGCCGCCGCGGUAAGAC